AGAGUUUGAUCCUGGCUCAGAACGAACGCUGGCGGCGUGCCUAACAUAUGUAAGUUGAGUGCGAAAGGAGUAAUCCGAGUAGAGCGGUGUAUGGGUGUGUAAUACGUGGGUAAUCUGUUUUAGGGUCAGGGAUAAUUUUCCGAAAGGUUAGUUAAUACCUGGUAAGCUUACGGUGUCUUUGGACGCUGUGGGAAAAGUAGGUUUCUAUUUAUAAGCUUACGCCCAGAGAUGAGCCCGCGGCCCAUCAGUUCGUUGGUGGGGUAAUGGUCCACCAAGGUAAUGAUGGGUAGCUGGUCUGAGAGGAUGAUCAGCCACACUGGAAUUGAGACACGGUUUAGAUUUUUAUGGGAGGUAGUAGUGGGGAAUUUUUCAUAAUGGGCGAAAGCCUGAUGGAGCAACGCCGCGUGUGUGAUGAAGGUUUUUGGAUCGUAAAGCACUUUCGACCGGGACGAAAAACCCCUGGUUAAUAUCCAGGGGUUUGAUGGUACCGGGAGAAGAAGCACCGGUUAACUCUGUGUUAGCAGUUGUGGUAAUACAGAGGGUGCAAGCGUUGUUCGGAAUUAUUGGGCGUAAAGCGCGUGUAGGCGGCUUGGCAAGUCAGAUGUGAAAGUCCUCGGUUUAACCGAGGAAGUGCGUCUGAAAUUGCUGAGCUUGAGUGUCGGAGAGGAUGGCGGAAUUCUGUAAGUAGAGGUGAAAUUCGUAGAUAUGCGGAGGAAUACCGGUGGUGAAGGUGGCCAUCUGGACGACUAUUGAUGCUGAGACGCGAAAGCGUGGGGAGUAAAUAGGAUUAGAUAUCCUGGUAGUUCACGCCGUAAACGAUGAGAACUAGGUAUUGUGGGUGUUGAUUCCCGCGGUGCCGUAGUUAAUGUAUAAGUUCUCCGCCUGGGAAGUAUGGCCGUAAGGCUAAAACUCAAAGGAAUUGAUGGGGGCCCGCACAAGCGGUGGAGCAUGUGGUUUAAUUCGACCAUGCGUAGAAUUUUACCCAGACUUGACAUCUAUCAAACCCGGCUUAAAAGCUGGGGUGCCCGUAAGGGAAUGGUAAGAUAGGUGCUGUAUGGCUGUCGUCAGCUCGUGUUGUGAGAUGUUGGGUUAAGUCCCGCAAUGAGCGUAACCCUCGCCUUUAGUUGCUCCGUAAGGAGAUUUUUUAGAGGGAUUGCCAGUGAUAAGCUGGAGGAAGGUGGGGAUGACGUCAAGUCCUUAUGGCCUUUAUGUCUGGGGUUACACACGUGCUACAAUGGCGAGUAUAAAGCGUUGCUAACCUGUGAAGGGGAGUUAAUUGCAUAAAACUCGUCUUAGUUCGGAUCGGAGUCUGUAAUUUGGCUCCGUGAAGUCGGAAUCGCUAGUAAUCGCGGAUUAGUAUGUUGCGGUGAAUACGUUUUCGGGCCUUGUAUAUAUUGCCCGUCACACCAUGGGAGUCAAUUGCUCCAGAAGUCACCACGUUAUA
rnacentral:rRNA from 1 species